UGGCGGCGUGCCUAACACAUGCAAGUCGAACGAGAAAGUGGAGCAAUCCAUGAGUAAAGUGGCGACCGGGUGAGUAACACGUGACUAACCUGCCUUCGAGUGGGGGAUAACCUCGGGAAACCGGGGCUAAUACCGCAUAAUGCCUUCGGGUUAAAGGAGCAAUUCGCUUGAAGAGGGGGUCGCGGCUGAUUAGCUAGUUGGCGGGGUAACGGCCCACCAAGGCGAUGAUCGGUAGCCGGCCUGAGAGGGCGCACGGCCACACUGGAACUGAAACACGGUCCAGACUCCUACGGGAGGCAGCAGUGGGGAAUUUUGCGCAAUGGGGGAAACCCUGACGCAGCAACGCCGCGUGGAGGAUGAAGUCCUUUGGGACGUAAACUCCUUUCGAACGGGACGAUUAUGACGGUACCGGUGGAAGAAGCCCCGGCUAACUUCGUGCCAACAACCGCGGUAAUACRAAGGGGGCGAACGUUGUUCCGAAUUAUUGGGCGUUAAAGGGGCGUUAGGCGUGCGGUAA
rnacentral:rRNA from 1 species